GUUUUUGCUGAUGACGAAUCAAGUAGAAGCCCGAUUAAUGUUCCCUGGGAAUCGAUACGAAAUCUCACAAAGAAGACUUUGUACUGUGGAACCUCCUUGAGAAAUAUGAUGCGAGGUGGAUCAACUGACAAGAUCCAGCAAUGUUUUGGGGAAGGGGUUGUUUGCUUUAGGGGAUUCAACCGAAAAACACGAGAACACUGACCGUUGUCCAAUAGAUUCCACCUUUGGAAGGGCAAGAAAGUUCAAAACUUGAAAAGACAUAUUCACCUUCGAAAGGGCAAGAAGAGCAAAACAAGAAAAGACGACGAAUGUGUCAAGACUAGGACAAGGGUCAAUGACGGUAGGAUUUCAUUUGCUGAAAUGUUGGGAUGUAUGUAGGUAGUUUCUGCAAUGGGAGGCUCGUUUCUCUAUGUUGAUAGUCUCAGUUACGCUUUGUUUGUUUUGACAAAUGGGGGAGGAAAGAGCCUCUGCUGCCCCAUGGUUCUAUGAUUAUUUUUUUUUUGCUUUCAAGCACUGGCUUUUUGACUUUUGCUAAAU